AAGAAUCUCUUUCGUAGAAUUGAAAGAAUUUUCUAUUGGAUGGAAAAUAAUUUUACAUCAACGAACUAAGUAAAGGAAAAAAGAAAUUAUUUAGUACUUGUGUUUUGCCUAUGUACGUCAUCCAUACAUUAUCAGGAUCCGAAUUCUCCAAAAUGGGACCGAAUCCAAUCUGUUCAGGCUUAUAACUUUUGCCUAUAAACCCUAAAUGCAUUCCUGCAAAUGGUGCACCUUUACUUUGUCUCCGCCGCCUAACUAAGAAGAAAAAAUGGCUGAUCAACAGUAUUGUACCUCUCGUGUUCGGCCUGAACAUGAUCCCAUGGCUAUGGAGGGUAAGAUUGACAAAUUAAACAAUGAUUUGCUUAUAGCCAUUCUUUCAUAUUUACAAUGAUGUAUUUAUUUUGUAUAACUACUCUUAGAAAGGCUUAUGACUUGUACUACCGGUUUUGGGAAUUGUAAUUUAUUCCGAGUAAUUUAAUUUAAAGUUAGUAAAUAUCCAUGUUAUUUCAGUUAAUGUUAGGCUUACCUAGUUUAGAGAAUAGGUGCCUUCACGACUCCUUCGGAGGGAUUUUGGGUCGUGACAUGUUGAAAGUGUUUCCAAGUCAUAUAACUUGGAAGAGUUCUCAAUAACCUCUUUCUGAAACCAAAAGAUGGCCGAUCACUUAUGCGCAGAUGUCUCAACCUUACCAUGUUCCAAAUGGUGUCUAGUAGCUUCACUUCCCCACAUAAUCCUGUAAUCAAAAGUGUUUCUAGGUAUGCCAGUUUGUCUAUCCAACUGGGAAUAGAAGUUGCACCUAUUCGAACAGCUAAUAUGGCAAAUGGAUUUGCAGUUUUAUUUCAGUUAGAAAGUUAUCCUAGAAGUUGACGCGCUCCAAAUCUAGCACUUUAAGAAGUCUGAAGCAUACAAGAAAUGAGAGAGAUUUUCCCAUUGGCUUUCUGUCAUUGGCUACUGUGAGUAGUAGAGAGCAAACAGGGACGCCAAGUGGCGGUGUAAUUAAGGCAAAUGUGCUAUUAUAACAUAACGAUAUCGGAUGUUGCUCCAGAUCUUGGAAGCCAAAACUGGGAUAACCCUUUCAUUUAUGUUUUAACUAUUUGCUUGAUGUUUGAAUCUGUGUUUUUUAAAAUCUUAUACGGCUAACAUUUGAUUCUAAUGAUUAUUGAUGGUAACUAGUUCAGUCAAUGUCUCUUGGUUCUUGAAGAAGCAAGUUAGUGCUACACGAAGUGUUGGCCAUAAUUUCUCAGGAAUCAAGAGGAGACUUCUCCCACAGUGAAAUGAUAUUCUAACUUGCUCAAAAGAUUGUACUUCUGAUAGUGAUUGCACUGACUGCUGGUUUUGUUGUCGAUUUGAUGUGUCUAUUAUAUCAUGUGUAUUUUAGGGUAGUCGCAAAUAGAACAUCCAUUUAAUUGCGACGAACUUUGCAACACAUCCCUGUUAUUCAUUUGUGUCUCCGUUUGAUUCUUGUGUUUCUUAGUUCCUUGUCUUUCAUUCUUUGUACCAAUAAAUAUAAAAUAAGCCAACUGAAUUGUUGGUAAUGAUGUCUCACUAAUUUGAACAAUGAAUUUGUAUGCAUAAGGGUGGCAUCUACAGAUAUCAUAGGCAGCGGCAAGGGUGCAUGCCAAAGCAAAAGGUAUAGACUAUGGUCACAUCAAAUAAAAGCCACACAAAUAAUGCUCAAAUUAUAACAAACAUAACCAAUCUCGACAUGAUUGAGCAACUUGAAGUGGAGAAACGGAAUAUUUGAAGAAUGUUUACCAGAAAUUAAAUGUACAAUGAUUACAUUUCCAAAAGAAGUAAAACCAAAGAAAUCAGUAACUUCCCACGGAGUCUAUAAUAUUUCAACAUUUGAAUUACAAUCAAAGAUAUGGUUGGAAUUAAUCAUCACUAAAGACUCUCUCUCUAUCUAGCUUUAGAAGAUACAAAACAAACAAACACUUUGACAGAAGUAUCAUUAUGUAUCAAAUGUUGACAUUAACGUAAAGAGAAUUACAAGAGUAGUGAGAGAAUAUACGAGUCCAGCACUACUAUUCACCUUCUAUGCAAUCAAGCCACUCUCUUUUUAUCACAACCAUAUAUCCUCUUGACUUUAUGAUGCAAUUAUUCUUUUUUACUUACACAGUCAAUUUCUCAAUUUGCAUCCAUUCUUUUCACAAUUGUUCCAAUUAUUUUACUUGGUUAUAAACAGAUCUUUCAAUUUAAGUGUAUCUGGUUCUGAAAACCAUCAGGUUAUUACUUACUUAUUAGUUACUUUGAUCACUUUUAAGACCUGGUAUUGAGUGAUCUCAUGAGCUUUUCUUGGUCAGUGAGUGUGUGACGGAAAUGGCAGCGAUGACCGUAAGGACAGGGAUCACCAUUGAGGACCAUUCGGCAUACCUCAGUUUUGUAGCGGGGGUGGCGAAGGA
rnacentral:lncRNA from 1 species